rnacentral:lncRNA from 1 species
AGAAAGAAAACUGCUAUUUCCUUACAACAAAUCUGUUGUAUUGCAGCAAAGAAUAUAAAAUCAGAAUAAAGUUGUUCAGAAAAUAAACAUCUUGAGUCACAUCCACUCAAAAACCACACUCAGAGGGAAGUUAUUUAGGAAGCUGCAAGACUCUUCUUACCCCCCUGGGAUGGUUUGGCUUCAAACUGUGCCUUCCAAAGAGCAACUUGCAACUGGCGCAGCCUACUGCUUGUAUCGUAAUUUAUGAACUCAGUGGCUUGAAAGGUUCCUCCUGCUGCAAGGAUCAUGGUCAAAUAUCACCAGGCCCCCAAACCUGAGUUUACCUGGGGAUCUACUCCAUGGAUUUGUUGAGAAGCUAAAAUCGUGAUGAUGGCACACAGUUAUCCUCCUGCCCCAUGUUCCUGCAAGUCCUCACACGCUAUCAACUUGAAACACAGAAGAGCAUCCAAGGUCCUGAUCCAAGGUCGUUUCUGUUCUGCUCAACACUUUCACGUGGAGGCACCUGCUUGCUUCCUUGUCUGUAAUGAAAUCUGAACACAGGCUUAAAGACCCAAAAGUCCAAGUGUUGCGACGAACUGAGAUGAACUCAUGGGGUUUGCCAUCCUGGGCUCAGCCGCUCAUCUCUCCUCACCCUCUUCAGCAAAAAACGUGAGUAGCUGCAUUCCAAGCAGCGCAUAGCAAUCAUCCAUCUCGCCUUUGAAGCAUGAGUUUGUUGGGUUUUGGGCUUAAUCAUAACCAUUAGCUUCCAUUUAAUCUCUGAACCCAGUCACCCUGGCUCUCACAAGUGUGACAGCCGCCCUGUCUGAGUCUGUAUAGCCACAGAGCCCUUGUUACCACUCAUUUGAUUUCUCCACCACCUUUGUUGCCUUGCCUUGAUCCUCACCAUAACAUGGCUUGUUUAUGGUACCUUGCAGAGAAAUUUGGGGUUUCACUUUCUCUUUCUAAUGCAAUGAGUUAUUUAUUUCUGACAUCCUAAUCUUCUUUUAAGAUCUUUUUUUCUUUUUGUCCUUUUUUUACUGAGCCUUUAGAACAGCAUAUUUCACUGUGUUUAUGUGGUAGAAGCACAUAAUAAAAAUAUAACAACUAUUCUAGAAAUUUCA